UUAGCUGAUGGGAAACAGGUCAAUAUUCCUGUACCGAUGUGUAGUGCGAUGUGGGGACGGAUCUUAAUAAGUCAUCCGGGUGUUGGAUAUCCCGGUUUAGCUGGAUGUAGGCGAUGGGCAGGCAAAUCCGCCCGUCAUAUACCGAGGCCAGUGAUCGAGCAAGCUUGCUUGUGAAGUGAUCGAACGAGGUUCCAGGAAAAGCCACUAAGCUUCAGCUGCACACGACCGUACCGCAAACCGACACUGGUGCGCGAGAUGAGUAUUCUAAGGCGCUUGAGAGAACUCGGGAGAAGGAACUCGGCAAAUUGACACCGUAACUUCGGAAGAAGGUGUGCCCUAUUAGUGUGAAGCGAACAGCGGAGCAUGAACGGGUUGCAAAGAAUCGGUGGCUGCGACUGUUUAUUAAAAACACAGCACUCUGCAAACACGAAAGUGGACGUAUAGGGUGUGACGCCUGCCCGGUGCUGGAAGAUUAAAUGAUGGGGUGCAAGCUCUUGAUUGAAGUCCCAGUAAACGGCGGCCGUAACUAUAACGGUCCUAAGGUAGCGAAAUUCCUUGUCGGGUAAGUUCCGACCUGCACGAAUGGCGUAACGAUGGCCACACUGUCUCCUCCCGAGACUCAGCGAAGUUGAAAUGUUUGUGAUGAUGCAAUCUCCCCGCGGAAAGACGGAAAGACCCCAUGAACCUUUACUGUAGCUUUGUAUUGGACUUUGAACAGAUCUGUGUAGGAUAGGUGGGAGGCUUUGAAGCAGGGUCGCUAGAUCUUGUGGAGCCAACGUUGAAAUACCACCCUGGUGUGUUUGAGGUUCUAACCUAGGUCCAUUAUCUGGAUCGGGGACCGUGCAUGGUAGGCAGUUUGACUGGGGCGGUCUCCUCCCAAAGCGUAACGGAGGAGUUCGAAGGUACGCUAGUUACGGUCGGACAUCGUGACGAUAGUGCAAUGGCAUAAGCGUGCUUAACUGCGAGACUGACAAGUCAAGCAGAUGCGAAAGCAGGACAUAGUGAUCCGGUGGUUCUGUAUGGAAGGGCCAUCGCUCAACGGAUAAAAGGUACUCUGGGGAUAACAGGCUGAUACCGCCCAAGAGUUCAUAUCGACGGCGGUGUUUGGCACCUCGAUGUCGGCUCAUCUCAUCCUGGGGCUGUAGCCGGUCCCAAGGGUAUGGCUGUUCGCCAUUUAAAGAGGUACGUGAGCUGGGUUUAAAACGUCGUGAGACAGUUUGGUCCCUAUCUUCCGUGGGCGCUGCAGAUUUGAGGAAGCCUGCUCCUAGUACGAGAGGACCGGAGUGGACACACCUCUGGUGUAUCGGUUGUCACGCCAGUGGCAUUGCCGAGUAGCUAUGUGUGGAAGAGAUAAACGCUGAAAGCAUCUAAGCGUGAAACUCGUUUCAAGAUGAGAUCUGCCGGGGCCUUGAGCCCCCUGAAGAGUCGUUCGAGACCAGGACGUUGAUAGGCAGGGUGUGGAAGCGCAGUAAUGCGUUAAGCUAACCUGUACUAAUUGCUCGUGUGGCUUGACCCG
rnacentral:rRNA from 1 species